rnacentral:rRNA from 1 species
UACGUAGGGGGCAAGCGUUGUCCGGCAUCAUUGGGCGUAAAGAGCGUGUAGGCGGCCCGAUAAGUCCGCCGUGAAAGUCCAGGGCUCAACCCUGGAAUGCCGGUGGAAACUGUCGGGCUGGAGUCCGGAAGAGGCGAGUGGAAUUCCUGGUGUAGCGGUGAAAUGCGCAGAUAUCGGGAAGAACACCCGUGGCGAAGGCGGUUCUCUGGGACGGUACUGACGCUGAGACGCGAAAGCGUGGGGAGCGAACAGG